rnacentral:rRNA from 1 species
GUUUGAUCCUGGCUCAGAUUGAACGCUGGCGGCAUGCCUUACACAUGCAAGUCGAACGGCAGCACGGACUUCGGUCUGGUGGCGAGUGGCGAACGGGUGAGUAAUGCAUCGGAACGUACCCGGUAGUGGGGGAUAACUACCCGAAAGGGUGGCUAAUACCGCAUAUACUGUGCGCAGGAAAGCAGGGGACCUUCGGGCCUUGUGCUACCGGAGCGGCCGAUGUCAGAUUAGGUAGUUGGUGGGGUAACGGCCUACCAAGCCUGCGAUCUGUAGCGGGUCUGAGAGGAUGAUCCGCCACACUGGGACUGAGACACGGCCCAGACUCCUACGGGAGGCAGCAGUGGGGAAUUUUGGACAAUGGGCGCAAGCCUGAUCCAGCCAUGCCGCGUGAGUGAAGAAGGCCUCGG